rnacentral:rRNA from 1 species
UACUCGAGUGGCGAACGGGUGAGUAACACGUGGGUGAUCUGCCCUGCACUUUGGGAUAAGCCUGGGAAACUGGGUCUAAUACCGAAUAGGACCGCACGCUUCAUGGUGUGUGGUGGAAAGCUUUUGCGGUGUGGGAUGGGCCCGCGGCCUAUCAGCUUGUUGGUGGGGUAAUGGCCUACCAAGGCGACGACGGGUAGCCGGCCUGAGAGGGUGUCCGGCCACACUGGGACUGAGAUACGGCCCAGACUCCUACGGGAGGCAGCAGUGGGGAAUAUUGCACAAUGGGCGCAAGCCUGAUGCAGCGACGCCGCGUGGGGGAUGACGGCCUUCGGGUUGUAAACCUCUUUCAGUAUCGGCGAAGCUCCAGGAUUUUUCUUGGGGUGACGGUAGGUACAGAAGAAGCACCGGCCAACUACGUGCCAGCAGCCGCGGUAAUACGUAGGGUGCGAGCGUUGUCCGGAAUUACUGGGCGUAAAGAGCUCGUAGGUGGUUUGUCACGUUGUCCGUGAAAACUCACAGCUUAACUGUGGGCGUGCGGGCGAUACGGGCAGACUGGAGUACUGUAGGGGAGACUGGAAUUCCUGGUGUAGCGGUGGAAUGCGCAGAUAUCAGGAGGAACACCGGUGGCGAAGGCGGGUCUCUGGGCAGUAACUGACGCUGAGGAGCGAAAGCGUGGGGAGCGAACAGGAUUAGAUACCCUGGUAGUCCACGCCGUAAACGGUGGGUACUAGGUGUGGGUUUCCUUCCU